CCUACGGGUGGCUGCAGUGGGGAAUCUUGCACAAUGCGCGAAAGCGUGAUGCAGCAACGCCGCGUGCGGGAAGACGGCCUUCGGGUUGUAAACCGCUUUCAGUUGGGACGAAGGUCGGCGCGUUAAUAGCGGGUCCGACUGACGGUACCUUCACAAGAAGCCCCGGCUAACUACGUGCCAGCAGCCGCGGUAAUACGUAGGGGGCAAGCGUUGUCCGGAAUCAUUGGGCGUAAAGAGCGUGUAGGCGGCCUCAUAAGUCGGCUGUGAAAGUCAAG
rnacentral:rRNA from 1 species